rnacentral:rRNA from 1 species
GAUGAACGCUGGCGGCGUGCUUAACACAUGCAAGUCGAACGGUGAACACGGAGCUUGCUCUGUGGGAUCAGUGGCGAACGGGUGAGUAACACGUGAGCAACCUGCCCCUGACUCUGGGAUAAGCGCUGGAAACGGCGUCUAAUACUGGAUAUGUGACGUGACCGCAUGGUCUGCGUUUGGAAAGAUUUUUCGGUUGGGGAUGGGCUCGCGGCCUAUCAGCUUGUUGGUGAGGUAAUGGCUCACCAAGGCGUCGACGGGUAGCCGGCCUUAGAGGGUGACCGGGCACACUGGGACUGGGAAACGGCCCAGACUCCUACGGGAGGCAGCAGUGGGGAAUAUUGCACAAUGGGCGCAAGCCUGAUGCAGCAACGCCGCGUGAGGGAUGACGGCCUUCGGGUUGUAAACCUCUUUUAGCAGGGAAGAAGCGAAAGUGACGGUACCUGCAGAAAAAGCGCCGGCUAACUACGUG